rnacentral:rRNA from 1 species
GGUGCUCAGCGCCCGACCUCCAACCCUUUGUUGUUAAAACUACCUUGUUGCUUUGGCGGGACCGCUCGGUCUCGAGCCGCUGGGGAUUCGUCCCAGGCGAGCGCCCGCCAGAGUUAAACCAAACUCUUGUUAUUAAACCGGUCGUCUGAGUUAAAAUUUUGAAUAAAUCAAAACUUUCAACAACGGAUCUCUUGGUUCUCGCAUCGAUGAAGAACGCAGCGAAAUGCGAUAAGUAAUGUGAAUUGCAGAAUUCAGUGAAUCAUCGAAUCUUUGAACGCACAUUGCGCCCCUUGGUAUUCCGAGGGGCAUGCCUGUUCGAGCGUCAUUACACCACUCAAGCUAUGCUUGGUAUUGGGUGCCGUCCUUAGUUGGGCGCGCCUUAAAGACCUCGGCGAGGCCUCACCGGCUUUAGGCGUAGUAGAAUUCAUUCGAACGUCUGUCAAAGGAGAGGACUUCUGCCGACUGAAACCUUUAUUUUUCUAGGUUGACCUCGGAUCAGGUAGGGAUACCCGCUGAACUUAAGCAUAUCAAUAAGCCGGAGGAAA